GGGGCUGAUCGGCUUCGAUGGCUCGAUCUUCUUCUAUACGCAAGCCGAGGGGCAUCCGCCCUCGUAAAUCCCGGAUGCAGAGAAGUCAAAUGCCAAUAUCUUCUCAAAGGCCAAGAACAUGAUCGCUUCGGCGUUCAGCGUUCCGAGCCUUUCCAUGGUCACCGCUUAAUAACGGAGACCCGUCCACUUCGGUGAUGCUCGAUACCCGGACGUGGAUGUCAUAUCUUUCGAGCUUCAGCCUGAGGCUGAUCCGCCUUUGGCGGAGGAUGGUGCAAUCGUCGGUCUUGCAUCGUCGAGGAAUGGUGACCGGCACCAGGGGCGUCACUUUUGGUCCCGCUUUGAUGACGUUCGUGGAUUCUAAACGGGACUAUGCUUGAAGAAGUAUGGAACGGAGUCGUGUCAGACGGGGGUUCAAUUCCCCCCAGCUCCACCA
rnacentral:tmRNA from 1 species